rnacentral:tRNA from 1 species
GGUAGAGUGGCCGAGAGGUCUAAGGCGCUGGUUUUAGGCACCCGUCUCUUCGGAGGCGUGGGUUUGAAUCCCACCGCUGCCA